GAUGAACGCUGGCGGUGUGCCUAAUACAUGCAAGUCGAGCGAACAGACGAGGAGCUUGCUCCUCUGACGUUAGCGGCGGACGGGUGAGUAACACGUGGAUAACCUACCUAUAAGACUGGGAUAACUUCGGGAAACCGGAGCUAAUACCGGAUAAUAUAUUGAACCGCAUGGUUCAAUAGUGAAAGACGGUUUUGCUGUCACUUAUAGAUGGAUCCGCGCCGCAUUAGCUAGUUGGUAAGGUAACGGCUUACCAAGGCAACGAUGCGUAGCCGACCUGAGAGGGUGAUCGGCCACACUGGAACUGAGACACGGUCCAGACUCCUACGGGAGGCAGCAGUAGGGAAUCUUCCGCAAUGGGCGAAAGCCUGACGGAGCAACGCCGCGUGAGUGAUGAAGGUCUUCGGAUCGUAAAACUCUGUUAUUAGGGAAGAACAAAUGUGUAAGUAACUACGCACGUCUUGACGGUACCUAAUCAGAAAGCCACGGCUAACUACGUG
rnacentral:rRNA from 1 species